GACGAACGCUGGCGGCGUGCCUAAUACAUGCAAGUCGAACGGUUUAGUUCCAAGAGGCUUGCCUUUUGGAACUAGACAGUGGCGUACGGGUGAGUAACACGUAGGCAACCUACCUGUCAAACCGGGAUAACCUCGGGAAACCGAAGCUAAACCCGGAUAAGCUCCUUUUUCGCAUGAAGGGGGAGUGAAAAGGUGCGACCUGAUGACAGAUGGGCCUGCGGCGCAUUAGCUAGUAGGUAGGGUAACGGCCUACCUAGGCGAGGAUGCGUAGCCGACCUGAGAGGGCGUACGGCCACACUGGGACUGAGAUACGGCCCAGACUACUACGGGAGGCAGCAGUAGGGAAUCUUCGGCAAUGGGCGAAAGCCUGACCGAGCAACGCCGCGUGAGUGAGGAAGGCCUUCGGGUUGUAAAACUCUGUUGUUUGGGAAGAAGGGAAAGGGUAGGACCCUUUGGUGACGGUACCAAACGAGAAAGCCCCGGCUAACUACGUG
rnacentral:rRNA from 1 species